GCUAUUAGAAGCCUCUUCAGAUUUAAAGGUUUGUACUGGGCAUAACAAAUUAACCAACAACCGAAUUACGAAGGUCAAAGUUCUUGAAUUACAGACCAAAAAACAAGCAAACAAAGAAUAAAUAGAGGAUUGCCAGGGUCUAAGAGAGAUCAAUUGCAAGACACUUUCACUCGAUUUUUCACUCAGUAAUAGCAUGACUGAAUAAGAAGUUCAAAACUGGAGCAGUAGCAGUUUCACUCCAUUUUUCCUUUCAGUAUCGUUGGACACGAGCUCCUUGAGAAAGCUUGCGUGGUCAGUAGCAUGUUGGUCAUGCAAUUGUGUCAACGUGGAGAAGGAGCCUGCAGGUCAGCCCGCAACAGGGUAACUUCUCUGCACUACAACAAAUCAAAAGCAGUAAAUGUACAUAUUUUGGACAUACAAGCAUAAUGGAAAUUUGCAGAAAUAACAUGGUGUUCCUGAUAAGUACUGAUGCUUUGGGAAUUUUUGAAGAGAGAAAAGAACAGAGAAAAGUACUGAUGCUUCAGAAUUUAUCAAAAUACUUGGCCACCAAAAACCCCAUAAUUUUUUUCCUGAAAACACAACACAAUUUUGGAAUGCAUCAGUACACGCUGACAUUUCGAGUUUUCAGAAGAAAUCAAACUUGCUAAUUAGUACUCGAUGUACUUACUGAGACCACACAUAUCCUAAAAUUUUAAUCAUGCACUUAUGAGUAUAGAUCAAAUUUGCCACUUGGGAAAUUAUGCUCUCCAAAACAUAGUAAAUUCUCAUUUCAACGGUUUUCAGUUACAUGUGCAACAUGAAAGGAAAACAUAACUGACUGUGAAUAGCACUCAAGCAAAAAAAAUUGUAGGGUGUUCAGCGGUAUAUUAUUCAACAUAAAAAAUUGAACGUUCAACAUUCACUAUCACUGCACUAGAACUAAACUUCAGAUAGAAAACAGAGGUAACAAUUCCAGCAAUUGGUAGCUGCGUAGUAGAGGGCAUGCAGCAGCAUCAACAAGAAAGGCUGCGGCUGUGCCGGACAGACGUAGGUGCAGUAGCAGCUUGCAGCAAGGAGCGGCCUGCACUCAGCUCCUUGAGCGACCGGCCACAAAACAAGAAGUUGUACUAUUGAGCAAGAGAACUUUCUACAAAAAUCCCAAAGCAUUAUAAAAAUAUCCUAGAGAACUUUUCUACAAAAUUGAUUAACUAAGUAACAGCAUGGUGCACAUUCUCAAGCAGAACCACAAGCACUUGUUUGUGCUAUAUGAAGAAGAUGAAAACACAAAGGAAAUCGGACUCACCACUGGGAAGUAGAUGAACUGAAAAGCAUACAAAAUAUGAACUUGUGCAUCUUAUUUUUAUUGCAGC
rnacentral:lncRNA from 1 species